rnacentral:rRNA from 1 species
GACGAACGCUGGCGGCGUGCCUAAUACAUGCAAGUAGAACGCACAGUUUAUACCGUAGCUUGCUACACCAUAGACUGUGAGUUGCGAACGGGUGAGUAACGCGUAGGUAACCUGCCUGGUAGCGGGGGAUAACUAUUGGAAACGAUAGCUAAUACCGCAUAAUAUUGAUUAUUGCAUGAUAAUUGAUUGAAAGAUGCUAUUGCAUCACUACCAGAUGGACCUGCGUUGUAUUAGCUAGUAGGUGAGGUAACGGCUCACCUAGGCGACGAUACAUAGCCGACCUGAGAGGGUGAUCGGCCACACUGGGACUGAGACACGGCCCAGACUCCUACGGGAGGCAGCAGUAGGGAAUCUUCGGCAAUGGACGAAAGUCUGACCGAGCAACGCCGCGUGAGUGAAGAAGGUUUUCGGAUCGUAAAGCUCUGUUGUAAGAGAAGAAUGGGUGUGAGAGUGGAAAGUUCACACUGUGACGGUAUCUUACCAGAAAGGGACGGCUAACUACGU